AUUUAAUUGAUUGUACUCAUCAUUAAUCUACUUUUUCACUAAUCAUAAUUUUUUUAUUUUAUUAAAAUUGCAAUCAAAUCUGCCAACACAUUAGAUUUAAUUUAGAAUCUUGAUCUCUAUCAAAUUAUUUUCCUUUACCUUAUAUUUUUUCUUGCAAUAUAUUUAGUCUUCCAUUUUGAUGUUUUCUAUCUUCUCUCAAAAACUGCAAUUGUUUUCUUUAAAAUAUCAUUCCAAUUUAUUUUUAUUAAAUUGUGCAACAAAAUGACAUGCAUCUGUAAAAACAUACUAGAUAGGCUUUGCAUAACUGUCCAUUUAAAUAUUCAAAUAUGUGUGGACUGCCGUCUAUAGCUUAUAGAUCAUAACUUGAAGUUUGUGUUGAAUUCAUUCAUUAUUUGGAUUGUUUUUGUCAAGUGUGUUCCAGCUGAAAAAAAUCAUCAUGUUUAGUCCCUAGAUAUGAAUAUAUAGCUAUUUGUUUGUGGUAUCGGGAAUAAUUUAUUGAUAAUAACCAAAACUAACCAUUCCGUACAUUUUGUUUAUACAUUCAUCCUAUUUUUCUACCAAUUAUUUUGUAUAGAUAUAUACUUGAGUUAAAUUUUCUACUGUGCAAUGUGAUUUAAUAUUUAACUUAAUUAAAAAUGCAUAAUUAAUGUUUUUUGUCAGCAUAUUGUUAAAUGAUGUAAACAAAUGUCGUGUCUUAUUUUUGUUUAAAACACAGGUAAAUAUUCUCAAUUUCAGUACACAAUUGCACCAAUCUGCACUUCCUCCACUUUAUUUUAGUCAAUCCUAAGACAGGAACAUUAGGUUUAACGCCAUGGCGUUGUCGUUUUAUUUUCGAUUUAUGAGUUUGACUGAGAUUUUUGUUGUUGAACAAUGCUGUACUGUGUAGUAUACCUGUUUAAUUCAUUGGUUCAUUCCACUUUCACCAUCCUUGUUUUUAGAAUAAAUAAAGGCGUUUUUCCUCAGUAAUGGACAGAUGAUCGAUGGAGUUAAAUUUCAAGUUAACCAACAUAACAUGGUUUGAUAAUUUAUAGCACUGUUAGAAUGUAUCUAACUUAUAAGUUUGAAUGUCAUUUAGGUAUCUCUUGACUCUCUUUUAUUGACCAUAGGAACGUUUUUUCUAUCAAAAUUAGGGGUUAUGAGUGUUAUCUUUAUUCAUUAAUAAAGUUUAUUUUGACUGUAUGAGGGGUGAACUGUGAAAACUCAGAAACUGGAGAACUAAAAAUUAUGUUUGUUGAGGUUACACAUCCUUUGUUUUUUAUAUCUCUUCAAGAAAUAAGACAAAACAUUAAACAUUGGAAUUAUUAUCAAAUAAUUCCUAAUUAGUUAUGUUUUUAAGAUAACAAAAAUUCGUUUAGAAAAUAAUGC
rnacentral:lncRNA from 1 species